UACGUAGGGUGCAAGCGUUGUCCGGAAUUAUUGGGCGUAAAGAGCUCGUAGGCGGCUCGUCGCGUCGGCUGUGAAAACCUGGGGGCUCAACCCCGGGCCCUGCAGCCGAUACGGGCGAGCUAGAGUUCGGCAGGGGAGACUGGAAUUCCUGGUGUAGCGGUGGAAUGCGCAGAUAUCAGGAGGAACACCGGUGGCGAAGGCGGGUCUCUGGGCCGAUACUGACACUGAGAAGCGAAAGCUAGGGGAGCAAACAGG
rnacentral:rRNA from 1 species